rnacentral:rRNA from 1 species
GACGAACGCUGGCGGCGUGCUUAACACAUGCAAGUCGAGCGGAGCGGCGAACGGGUGAGUAACGCGUGAGUAACUGCCCCCCUCUCUGGGAUAACAGUUGGAAACGGCUGCUAAUACCGGAUAGUGGGGGAUGACUCGCGUCCUAUCAGCUUGUUGGUGGGGUAGUGGCCUACCAAGGCGACGACGGGUAGCCGGCCUGAGAGGGGGACCGGGCACAUUGGGCUGAGAUACGGCCCAAAGUCCUACGGGAGGCAGCAGUUGGGAAUAUUGCACAAUGGGGGAAACCCUGAUGCAGGAACGCCGCGUGAGGGUUGAAGGCUUUCGGGUUGUAAACCUCUUUCGUUACAGAACGGGUAUGUGCAGAAGAAGCGCCGGCUAACUACGUGCCAGCAGCCGCGGUAAUAC